AGUGAACGCUGGCGGUAGGCCUAACACAUGCAAGUCGAACGGCAGGACAGUAAGAGCUUGCUCUUACGGGUGGCGAGUGGCGGACGGGUGAGGAAUACAUCGGAAUCUACUUUUUCGUGGGGGAUAACGUAGGGAAACUUACGCUAAUACCGCAUACGACCUACGGGUGAAAGCAGGGGAUCUUCGGACCUUGCGCGAUUGAAUGAGCCGAUGUCGGAUUAGCUAGUUGGCGGGGUAAAGGCCCACCAAGGCGACGAUCCGUAGCUGGUCUGAGAGGAUGAUCAGCCACACUGGAACUGAGACACGGUCCAGACUCCUACGGGAGGCAGCAGUGGGGAAUAUUGGACAAAGGGCGCAAGCCUGAUCCAGCCAUACCGCGUGGGUGAAGAAGGCCUUCGGGUUGUAAAGCCCUUUUGUUGGGAAAGAAAAGCAGCAGGUUAAUACCCCGCUGUUCUGACGGUACCCAAAGAAUAAGCACCGGCUAACUUCGUG
rnacentral:rRNA from 1 species